ensembl:lncRNA
CGGAUUUUUUUUUUUUAGCUUUUCAUUGUUUUAGUCUUGACAGUUUUAUAAAUUACAACCACAAUCAAUCUGUAUAAAAGCUUACUUUAUGAAGCACAGACUAAAUAUUCAGUAAAUAUGUCCUUUACAUAGUAUGAGCAUCCUGUCAGAAAAGUUCAGAUAUACAAACAAAAAGAAAAAUCCAAUCUUGACAUCAAAGUGCCGAAGUUGUCUUUUUUUUUUUUUUAACUUAAAUAAAACAUAACAAUCAACUAUUUUUUUUCCACAACCCUAUAUUACAGCACAGGCCUAACCUAGAACAUUGGGAAACAAUGGUUAGCACAACAGCCAAAGUGACUAUAAGGGGAAGUCUCCGUGUAAGAAAGCAGGUAUUUAUCCUAACAAUACAGCUUUAGAAAAAGUACUUCCUCUCUGAAAGCUCCGCUCCUGUUUCAGCAUUUUGGUCUGUACAAGAAUCAGGUUCCAGGAUUCCAGCUGUGAUUCCAGAUUUCCAGCAAAGUCCCAAAAGGAUCUCAGAUCCCAUCAGUCACUGUUAAUACAAUGUACGUAGCAACAGAAGCAAUGUGUCCGGAGCCAAAGAUAUAAUUGUUCCUCCCAUCAAUAUCCGCAACCCUGGUUAUGUCUACAUGCUUCUGAGUCACACUGUGUUUGUGUGAGGGGGGCGCUGAACUCACUGAUCUACAGUUGUGUCAUUACAUAACAAAUCACACAGAAAGAGAACGUGUGUAUGUGUGUGUGUGUGUUUGGGGGAUAUAGGAUCAAUCGAGGUGCUCACAGAGAGCGAUAACACCAUAUGUCCUUUUCCCACAACCUUACACAAGUCCUCCUUCCAGAAGAAUCGGCCUCAUUAUGUUGUUUUCCUCAAUUUGGAGUAAUGUGUGCUGGAUGUCCAUUUUGCCUGUUCUUGGCUGGCAGAGACGGUCGUACUAAGUAAACCAAACCAGUCUCUUCUAAGAAAACAAGUCUCUCCUCCAUCAGCUCCUUCUCACCCAUGUGGAGGGUGUUUUGAUGGCUACUUUGCUGGUGGAGUUGUUUUGCCGCCGUUCCCCUCUCCUAUCCAGCAUGCUGUCAGCCUACCUGACUUUAGCCCACUACGCUAGAGCAGUCCUGCUGCUAUGCUCUGCUGUCAGCCAGCCUCCAUCUGAAAUCGGUCAGGGCCUGCUUUCCUAAAAACAUCUUCAUCUAAUAAGAAGCUUGGCAACAGAAAGUCAAAUUCCCAAAAUUAUAACAGGGCAAACGACGCUGCGAUAGGUCCAUGUAGCAUGUUAUAAAUCAGAGCAGAGAUCAGUCAGACUUAAAAA